CACUCCUCCGCGGCGGCGGGGGAGGAGAUCACCACCACGAGGCGGCUCCCCAAACGGAGAGAGAAGAUGGGGCCCAGCUUCUGAGAGAGGUCGUAGUAGGUACGAUGAAUAGGGAAUUUGAGGAGGUGGAGGUGCCCUAACAGAGGAAGAGCCGCCGCCGGACUCGGUGGGAGUUUUCUUUGCCCGGAUUUUGCGGAAAACUUGAAGGCUAUAAGAACAAGGAAGAGAGAGAGUAGAGCAUAUAUCCACGUAAUUGUUUCCAUGCUUAUUGAUUUAUUGUUAUAUGCUGUGUGUAUCUGUAAUAUAUAUAGAGAGAGUGAGAGAGAGAGAGUGUGUGUGUGUGGGGUGGAUGAAAGGCGGGGGCCCCUUUGCUCAGCUGUAUGCGGCUGUUUUUCAGAAAAUCAGAAAGAGAAAAGAAAUUGUUUUUUUAUACCUAAUUUGACCCAUGGUCAGUCAUCUUUGACCGGAUUUUUCAGAGCUAUGAAAAUUCAAAAAAACUACAAGUCAAACUGAAUUUGAGCUACACCAUGAGAACUUGAACAUGACACUUUAAGGGGAUGUUUGGUUAUGUUUCUUAUAGGAAUUUCUAAUUUUCAAAAUUUCUGAUGGAAAAAAGUAGUUUAUUGGUUUUUGUAUAAAAAAUGAGAAUAUGUUUGGAUGAAUGAGUAUUUUUUAUUUUAUGUAGGUGUAAAAAUGGAAAUAUGUUUGGUUGUGGUGAAUUUUCUCUACAAAAGUACGCGCAAAAGUAGAAUAUAAUGAUUGAAGAUGAUGAUAGUAAUGAUGACUAUUAUUAUUAUUAUUAUUAUUAUUAUUAUUAUUAUUAUUAUUAUUAUUAUUAUUAUUAUUAUUAUUAUUAUUAUUAUUAUUAUUAUUAUUAUUAUUAUUAUUAUUAUUAUUAUUAGUAGUAGUAGUAGUAGAUACAUAAAUUGUGAGGAAAGAAAGUGUAGAUAUUAAUGAGGAGAGAUAAAUGAGUUGAUGGAAUAAAAUAUAUAAGUUAGUAGUAAGUUUUAGUAGGUUUGAAAAUUGAAAAAAGUAUGAAUAGUGUAUUUUCAAUAGAAAUUUGAUAAGAAAAAAAUGGGAUUUUCUGGAUAAAAUUGUGAAACAAACAUGAUCUCGAUUUUAUGAAUAGUAUAGAACUGGAAAUUGGUUUUGGAAAUGAAACCAAACAUAUACUAAAAAUCUUGAUAUUCGGAAUAUGUUUAUAAUUUUUUAAUAAAUAUAAUUUUCUUAAUGUAAAUUUUCAUAAUUGAUUCGGGCCCAGAUAAAAGCUCGAACUCAGACUCGAAUUUUUCGUGUUCGAACUUUCUGACGAACCGAGUUUGAGCCAGUUUUUAGUUUUUCGUGAGUUCACGAGACGGCUCGCGAGCCUUAUUUAUUAUUAAUUUUUUUUAUAUAUUAUAUUUUAUUUAAAUAAUGUAUAAUAAUAUAAAAUAUUAUAGAAAUAAAUAAAAAUAUAUAUAAUUACAAUUAAUUGUUUAUUUUGUAAAUUUAUAAAAAUAAUUUUUAAUAAUAAUAAAAUAAUAUUAAACAAAAAUCAACAAAUAGCUCGAGCACGACAAAAUGGACACGAGCUCGAGCUCGGGCCAAAAAGAAAGAACUCGACGUGCUCGAGCUCAAGAAAAGAGGCAAGUUCGGCUCUUUCACACGAGAGUCCAUCUCGGGUGACUGACCCAAAGAUAAAUAAUGAAGAUUUGGAAGUGAAAUUGGCGAAAGAGUCAACUUCAAUUCGCGAUCUAGCUAAGUUACUGGAAAAGUAAAGCCCAGUUUUCGAAAACUCAUCUCGAAUAGUACUUAGCUCUAGGAGAGGAGUUCGUAAGUAGUCAUACCGGGGAGACUUCUUGGCCGGCUUGGAAGGCACGUUGCGAGAUCAAUUUCAUAGCAUCUAAAUAACCCAUUGAGAAAGAAUUUUUAAGGAGGAGAAUCUUGUUGCUUAAGGAAAAUAUAUUCUAUCCCAAAGAUGGACUUAUGAGAACCUAACCCUAUGUAUGUAUGAUGUAUCCGAUAGACAAAAAUUGAGGGCAUGACAUAAUUCGGAAAAUAGAUACCAAAAAGAACUAUAGUUGUCUGUUUCUCUUAACAAUAAUUGUCUCUUCUCCAAGGUCCGAAUUAGAUAGUCGUUAAUAGAAAGAAGCUUAAUUUCACUUUACACCCUUGAAAUAACACUAUUUGGACACUUUCCAUCUUGAAAAAUAAUUUACAGCACUUUGCACCUUCAAAACAUGUUUAAUCAUUUAAAGGGCACUCUAGUAUAUUUUUGGGUCAUAAUUUUUUGUCAUUAACUUAGGGGUUUGCUAUUAUCAGUGCGGUUUUUACCACUCGCAGUGCAAAAUAAUUCAUUUUUUUUUUCCAAAUCUUAUCCAAAUUAAACUUCCUCUCAAACACUCUCAACUUUUAAUUCUCGAAAUUUUUCAAAUUCAGCAAUUUUUCAACCAAUAUCAGUUAGAGCACAAGUAUUAUCGGCAUGGAUGACAACGACUUCGAUUUUGAGGUGAAAAUACACGUUUUUUGUUCAUUUCCAACGUUUUUAGACAUUUCGUGUUAUAACACACGAAAUAUAUGCUUUCGUUUCGUGUAAUACUAUACGAAAUAUGUCUUAAAAUCGUUUGUUGUUUGUUUCGUAUAAAAGCAUACGAAAUUAAAGCUUACAUUUCGUAGUAAAACGUACGAAAUGGAAGCUCUUAUUUCGUAUGUUUUUACACGAAAUGGUAGCUUACAUUUCGUAUGUUUUUCUACGAAAUCCCUUAAAUAUUGUCUUUUAAUUUCAAAUAUUUAUGUAGGAACUAAGAGAACAAUCUCAUGAUCAAAGUCACUUCUUUGAACGUGAUAUUGUGUGUGAUAGUAGAGAAGCAUUAAUUAUGUGGGCAAAAGACACAACAAUUAGUCAUAAUCAUCGACUGAUUAAUCAUUGUAAAUCAGAAAAAUAUCAUGUUUUAACGUGUGCGAGAUAUUAAUCUGGACGACACGUACUAUUGAAGAAACGUUCUUGUCCGUUCAGGUUAAUGGACAAAAAAUCAACGGAGGAUGGAUUAUGGCGAUUGAGUGUGAGUAAUGGUAAUCAUAACCAUCUGCCAGGUAUUUGAUAGUUUAACUUAUGUUUAAAUAUGUAUUUGUUUUAAUUUUGCAUUUUAAUGAUUAAUUUAUGUUUUGGAAUAUUUAAAUUUGUAGCGUUGUGUUUUGCAUUUUUUUAUGUUUAAACUAUGUUUUUUGAAUGAUUAAACUUGUAAGGUUGUUUGUAAGGUUGUUUGAAUGUGUAUUUUAAUUGCUUCAGUUGUACGUAAGUUCUAAAUUCAAAUCAUAAAACUAGUGAAUUAAAAUACAAAACAAAACAACAAGCAAGUAAAUUAAAUAGUUCGUAAUAAUAAUAAACAAAAUUAGUAAAAUAAUUAGUUCCUAAUAAUAAUAAAAAUAAAUUAUUAAUUUAAAUAGUUCCUAAGAAUAAUAAAAAUGCAUAGUCCUAAUAAUAAUAAAAAUAAACUUUCAAAUUAAAUAGUUCAUAAAAAUACAUAACUAGCAAAAAAAACCGAUAAACUACCGCCUCGCUCUUCUCGACGGCUGCACCUCAUGAUCGUCAUCGUCGUCGUCGUUGUCCUGGUCGAUGCCAAUAUAUCGGGCGACGGGCUGCAUAAUAUCUUCAAGGUCGGCACGUAGAUCGACAACCUGCUGCAUCCAGUCCUGUCCAGUGCUCCUGGUGAUCGGGUACAAUGCACGUACUAUCUGGUAAUAAGCCGGCUGAUCUGGUGGCCUCACAUUCUCUCGAUGCACUGGAGUCGAGCCUACGUCGGGGUUGAUGAUCUUCAGAUGAGUCCGAUCGGUGUACCACUCUAUGUAGUGCUCGUCGACUUCCCCCCGUUGUCGUGUCGUCUUGUAUACGUUGGCACGAAUGGAAUGAGCCUGGACCAUGUCCCACAUACCACUCGGAAAUGGGUAGUUGACUUUGUACGAUGUACAUCCUUUGGGACCGCGUGAACAUGGCUCCAUCGAUGGAAUCAAGCCGCGCGGAAUAUCCUGAACCCACCCGAACUGUCGGACGCAACGAUCAGGCAUAUACGGCUCUACGACCCACAUGUCGUGGAUUGUGCCAUGAUACAACGUACGAGGGAUACUCUCGUGUAUAUCUCGACCAUACGGUAGCCACUCAACCUAAAUAGAAAACAAUAUAAAUACAUAAAUCAAAAAAUUCAUAUUUAAACAAACUACAAACAUAAACCGAAAAAUUCAUAUUUAAAAAAAUAUAUAAACACAUAAAUCAAAAAAUUCAUAUUUAAAAAAAAAUUAAAUACAUAAAUAUAAAAAACUUACAUCAUCCGCUGUCAUAUAAUCAAGUAAACUUCGAAUAUGCUCGAGCGUGCCCGCUUUUGGCAGCGCGUUCCACCUCUUGCAUCGAGGCUGAAACUCGCAGUACUGUUCGCUCUCCUCCGGCGGCUGGAAUCUCGGGAAAUACUCGUAUAUCCAUCACUGCAAUAUUUUAGUUAAAGAUAUUAAAAUUUAUAAAAAUAUAUUAAAAUUUACAAAAUAUAUUAAAAUUUAUUAAAAUAUUUUAAAAUGAAUAAAAUAAGUACAAAAUAUAUUAAAAUUUACCUGAAGAAAGAAAGGUGGUGCAACCCGCCAAGCUCCUCGACUGUGCUCGGCUGCAUAUACCCAAAUCCCUGUAUAGAUUGGCCAAACAUGCCGAACCCCACGAAUACAUGCCGACAUCAUCAAGCACUGAAUCUACGAGCACGUGCAUAUACCACGACUUCACCCGAUCACAUGUCUUGUCGGUGAAUAAAAUCGAUCCGAGGAGAAACACCAUAUAUAUCUGAACUCGGCGUCUCAUGGGCGUGUCGGGCAUCAACAACUAUCCAUGUAUCAUCCUCCAUGUGGGGCCCCCACGCUUCCAUGACUCGUCAAUCUCCUCAAAAUCGAGGUGUAAUACCUCGGACAGCAAAUACACGCAGUUUGUCCUCUCGAUGACCUCAUCGUACCUAGGCGCGACCACCCGUCCCUCCACAUUGGCACCUAGAAUCAUCUGGACAUCGUCAUAGUCAUCUCUCCCCACGGCAUAUGGAAGCUGUUUGUAAAUAACUUCGGGUUAGGGGAUACAAACUGGUCAUCCGCAGAAAAUGCUUGUCUACGGAUACAUCUAUGUCUUCUAGGGCAGCUGCUAUCUUCUCGUAAUAGAAAUGGUUCAGGGAGUUGAUACGGGUCUCCAGUCGUCCAACCGGACGUUCCUGCAAUCAUUUAUUUAGCAACCUUAUUAAUUAAUCAACUAUAAAAAUAUUUUAAUAUAAGAUACAUAAAUUAUAAUAUAAAAUUAAAACAAGUAAUUAACUUACUUCUCCCCUCCAAAUAUAUGCCGCUACGUGCGACUUGAAACUCGUAAUCAAAGACGGAUCCCGCGGGCCACCGGGAAAUGGACCAUCUAGCACAUCCGGAUUAACUCGAGUAUGAGCUCGACCACCACGACCUCCACGGCCCCGUCGUCGGCAUCCAUAACCUCCACGAACUACAACCUCAGUCUCGUGAACGGGGUCCACAGCAUCCUCCUCCUCUACCAUAGCACGAGAAGACCCAACAUCGGGAUCUGCAACUGAUGAUCUGGCUUCACCAGCUCUCUCAGCCUCUCGUCUACGUCGUGUAGACAUAGUCAUGCGCUCGCGCUCGCGCUCUUGAUGCUCAGCCUCUUCACGAACUGCUCGCAUAAUUGCCUUUGAUUUGCCUUUGCCUGCCAUAUGUUAAAGAAGACGCCAUUAACGUCAGUAUAAAUAAUAAUAAUAAAUAAAACAAAGCUUAAAAUAAAUGAAAUUUUCCAGUUAUUUCGUGGAAAAACACACGAAAUUAAUGCUUGCAUUUCGUGUUUGUGUUCACCAAAGACAAGCACUAAUUUCGUGUGUUUUUCCACGAAAUAACUGGAAUAUGGCCGAAACUCUUACGUUUCGUGCAAAAUCUUACAAAACAAAAGCUCACAUUUCGUGAGAAAUCUCACUAAAUAAUCAAAUUGAAUAAUACCAGAAUAAUCCCUUUAAUGAUGACGUCAGUGUAGGAUUCAGGGUCUGAUUCUUGGAAAGAGAGCAAAUGAUCAAUCAUGGUAUUUGUGUUCUUAUUGGAUCUGUGUUCAUCUAUCAAGCCUUGUAAGAAAUCAUCCAGUUUCCCACUCAGCUUCGUCAAAUUCUUCUCGAAAUUCUUGUAAUCAAUCCAUCUCAGCACCGGGAAGAAAUCCACCGGAUUUGACGCGCCGCCGUAGGAGAAAGCUUCCUUUAUAAGCCCUCGAAACCGCUCGGCCUCGUCAUUCUCCUCGCCGAAGUAGCGUUUUCCGGCAACCAUUCUCAUGAUAUUGUUAAACGUGAGCUCCGUAAAAAGGGGCCUGAGUUCGACUCGGGCGAAAUCUCCUAACGAGUUGCCACCGAGCUUCUCCAGCAUACGUUUCACUUCGUCUUCUCUGAUUGAUCGGAACGUGUUCAGACGCGCCGACGAGAAGAUUUCGACCGUCGUCAAGCGGCGGAGGUUGCGCCAGUGGUCGCCGUACGACGAGCCCACAACGGUGGUGUAGUUGUAGCCGAUGUACUUUCCGAUGAGGAAACGGGGCCUGUUGGCUAAAACGACGUCGUUCUUUGUGAAGCACUCCUCUGCGGUGGCGGGGGAGGAGAUCACUACCACGAGGCGGCUCCCCAAACGGAGAGAGAAAAUGGGGCCCAGCUUCUGAGAGAGGUUGUAGCAGGUACGAUGAAGUGGAAAUUUGAGGAGGUGGAGGUGCCCCAACAGAGGAAGCGCCGCCGCCGGACUCGGUGGGAAUUUUCUUUGCCCGGAUUUUGCAGAAAACUUGAAAACGAUAAGAACAAACAAGAGAGAGAGUAAAGCAUAUAUCCACGUAAUUGUUUCCAUGCUUAUUGAUUUACUAUUAUUAUAUGCUGUGUGUAUCUGUAAUAUAUAUAGAUAUUAUAUAUAUAUAUAGAGAGAGAGAGAGGGGAUUAAAGGCGGGGACCCUUUGCUCAGCUGUAUGUGGCUGUUUUUCCGAGUGGGAUCCUUUUUGUCUUUUUGUUUGAACGUUACAGUUCACCAUAGUCGUUGGAAAUGUAUUAUUUGAAGAAGUAGUUCGGUAAACGGUAUGAAAUGUUGGCGUAUUGAAAUUUCAGUUCGGUUUUAUUAGUUUACUCUAAUUGGUGGCCGUAAUUUACCCUAAAUAUAAUUGAACUUUGAAAAUUGUACUUGAACUUGACUUGGCAAACAAUUGAAUCGAGUCCGAACGAGUUUUAGUUGAGUGGAACACGAAUUAAACUCGAGAUCAUAUUUCAUCGAUCAUACUCUUGCCCUAAUUGAGCUCUUGUUAAAACCAACUUCCAUAGUUUAUAUAACUAAUUAAAAUAUAUAUUUAAAUUUGAUUUCAUUGCAUUAGAAAUAUUUACUAAUUUGAUUUUUAUGCCCAAGUGAAUACACAACACACAGUAUCUUACAAGCUCAUCAAAUGCUACACUUCGUGAAAUAUAUUAUAUAUUUUUAAAUCGUGGAACUGCAUAAAUAACUAUGAUCUAUGUAUAUAUACACGUGGCUGUUUGUUAUUACGACUCGAUCAAAAGUGUAAAACUACACAUGUAUUUCAUUUGGUGCAGAUUAUACUAAAAUUUAUCUUACAUAAAAAUAAAAUAUAGUGACGUAAGCAGUGAGCAAAGAUUCAUGACAACUUUUCUGUUUCGUAAGUGAUUAAAUGUGUACGUGUUAGCUUCUUGUACGUCAACAUGUUGGCUUUCUGGGGCUUAAAUCCAGAAAGAGAAAAGAAAUUGCUUUUUUAUACGUAAUUUGACCCAUAGUCUGUCAUCUUUGACCUUUCUAAUUUGGAUUUUUCAAAACUUUGAAAAUUAAUAAAAAAGUACAAGUCAAAUUUAAUUUGAGCUACACCACGAGAAGUAUACUUUAAGAUACUAAAAAUCAUGAUAUUCGGAAUAUAUUUAUAAUUUUUAAUAAAUAUGAUUUUUGUUUUUUAAUGUAAAUUUUUAUAAUUGAUCCAGGCCCAGAUUACAGCAGCCCAUAAUAAAGAGAGCCCAACCUGGCCAUGCAAAAAGCCCACAUAACAAGCCUGGAAAAGGCCCGAACCAAUAAAUAAAGAGGCGUAUCAUGAAAUAAAAUAUAGCAGUCAAAUCAUGUCCGUUGUUGAGAGAAACUUUAGAAGUCAUUUUGGGAUUUUUUUUUUAAAGCUAAAUAAACAUGGUUCGUUUCGAAUGAAGAAAAAAAGUGGGAUGAAAACUCCGACAUAAUUCCGGUCUUCUUUCUUAUUCAAAUACUCUACAAAUCUUAUCCUUCUCGGAUCCGGACAACGUCAUCCACCAACAUUGCGGGUCCCGGUCAAAAAGAGAUUCCAGAUGGACCAAUAAUUAUUUUUGGAAAUCGAAAUCUUAAUACAUAUUACAAUUUCAAUUCGAAAUAUCUGACGAAAUUAUUUUCGAAAAUUCAGAAUAGAAUAUUCUAUUCAAAAGUUAGAUAAUUUCGAAUUGAAAUCGACGGGUUUUGUAAUAUCAUCAUAAUUUCUAUCUCUAGUAAUGAUUCGGGAAAAAUAAAUACUAUUUAUAAAAAUGAAACGUGAUCGAUAAUUAUUUUGGGCCACUAACUGGGAGAUCUUGUUUCUCGAUUAGACGGUUGUUGCCGAUUUGUGAACCGAGUUCGAAUUUGGCCCUUUGAGGGGCUUGAGGGUGGUUGAGCAAUAGGGACAUUGCCCAUUCUAUGGUCACCACUGAUGUAUUUGUAGCCAUAAUUAUCAUGUUCUAUAAUUAUAGGAAAAUGCGAAAGAAAAAAAAAUGUAAACGUUAUUAGUUAUGUUAAAUUCCGAACACCUCAAUUCAAAAUUUUGAAAUCACCACGGACAUAUUAGAGCGAGUUAAUCUUGGAUGGUAAUUUUUUUUGUGUAAUUUAAUGUGAUUAGAUGUUAUACCUAGUUAUUUACACUGUAUGUAUUUCAUCCAUAAAUCUACACAUAAUUACACACGUCCAAGUAUAUGUGUGCUUAUGAUACGUGCAUAAUUUAAUUAGUGGAACAAGUUAGUUAGAUUAGUAAGUUAGUGGGUUAAUUAGUGGGGGUGAUUUGAUUAAUUAAUGGGUUAGUGGGAUGGUAGUUUAAUUAUUAUUUAUGAGUAUUAUAAAUAGGGUAAUUAGACUGUUGCGUGAUAGGCAAAUUAAUGAAGUUUAUGAAUCAAUUAUCUUCCUUUUGUCUUCUCUAAUUCUUCUUCUAAUUCUCCUCAUAAUUCAUAUAUCUCGAUUUCUUCUUAAUUCUCAAACUAUGUUUUCUUGCUCAAAUUACCACGUAACAAUGGUAUCAGAGCCGUUACGUUCCAUGGAGGCACGUAACCAAUCAGAUUCUGAGUUUCGUGCUGAGGUUAUUGAAACCCUAGCUCGACACGAAUCAAAUUUCGACAAAAUACACAACACCCUCCAAGUUGUUCUCACCGAACUUCGAGCUCUAAGAGCCUCCUCCAAAGCCGAAAAUGAUGUCAACUCCUUUGUUGUGGGAGAAACACCACUACCGGUCAAGCAAAAAAUAAAUAUACCUACAACACACUCAACUCCAUACCCUGCCCCAAAUACAAACCUCAAACAACAAAUUCCAAAAGUCGCCGCAGAUAACGCAACGGAAUGGAUUUUCCAAGCCAAGCAAUAUUUUGAAUUUCAAAGUAUUGCCCAAAAUCAGCAGGUGCACCUCGAAUCAUUUCGUUUGGAAGGACUCACUUUGGAACGGAAUCGCCGGUUAAUUGGGUUCAAGGGCUCGUCGGCCAGGGAAUAUUUUACUAAGGCGUUGCUCUACCGUUUUAGUCCUACCGAAUUUGACGAUCCUUCCGAAGCCCUCACUCGUUUCAUGAAACAAACACUCAUUGAUGCCAUUUACCAUGAAGAGUUCGAACAACUCUCUCAAAUAUGUGAUGGAUCACCCGAUCAACUGAAUUCACAAAAUGAUCUCAUACACGUAUCAAGACUAUAUCCUUGAGGACAGGGAUAUUUUGAGCGGGCGGGAAUGAUAUGUUUUAUUAUUUAAUUUAAUUAGAAUUAGUCAAAUUAUAUGUUAGUGGGUAGUUUUUUAUUAGUGGGCAUGAAUUAAAUUAGUGGGUUAGUGUGGUUUAAGGGGUUAGUGGGGUGGUAGUUAAUUAUUAUUUAUGAGUAUUAUAAAUAGGGUAAUUAGAAUGUUACGUGAUAGGCAAAUUAAUGAAGUUUAUGAAUCAAUUAUCUUCCUUUUGUCUUCUCUAAUUCUUCUUCUAAUUCUCCUCAUAAUUCAUAUAUCUCGAUUUCUCUUAAUUCUCAAACUAUGUUUUCUUGCUCAAAUUACAACGUAACAGCUUAGUGGUGGUUAUUUAAUCAGAUCUAUGAUUGAAAUUCACCUGAUGUAAUAAAAACAAGGUGUAGUAUCUAACUCUCCGUGUAAUCUACGACAUUUAUAGUUUUUUUCUAGACAUUGAACUCUUUUUCGGAUUUAAAUAUGAGCAUAGUUCAUUUUCUUUAGUUUUUUAUGCUAUAGUUAGACAUGAAAUCGGUAAUUCUUCACCCCAAACAAGGUAUAUAUUACAUCUGGUGAAACACAUCGCGAUAGACCUUCACCGUUCACCUACACACCCAUAUAGAUGUGUGUGUUUCAUAUGUGAAUAAAUGGUAAAACUAUAUCCGACCUAUUUCAGCCAAUACAUAUUUCUCUUUCUCGUUUAAAUAUGUAUUUAAUAAAAUCAUAAAUAAUCAACAAGUCACAUGUUUAAUGAGUGUAAAGUAUAACCACAUUUUUUUAACUAAAUAUUUAAUGAAACAUAGUACUGAUUAAUAAGGUCCUGAAACAUAGAGCACGCGAUGUAAAUUGUAAUACACAUUGACAAACCAUGAGAUUCUCAGAUUGCUCCAUGAAGACCUAUUUGAAGGACAUCACGUGAUUUGCACAUGGCCUCCAACGGCGUGAGUUUGGGCAUCGACAACCCUCUCCCUUCCGUCAAAUCCACUAACGCCCCGUCAACCGUCCGCCACUCGAAACACUGAAUCAAAGACCCCAAACCCAAACCCAUGACCCGAUUCGCCAGACCCACACCCGGGCACGACCUCCUCCCCAUUCCAAACGGCAUCAGCUUCGGCGCUCCUACUUCUCCGCCACCUUCAAACCGCUCCGGCUUGAAGCUCGUCGCGUCAUCCCACACCGUAGGAUCCCUGUGGAUCGCCCACGCAUUCACCAGCAAGAUCGUGCCACGUGGAAUAUCGUAUCCCGCCACCUUGCAGUCAGCGGAUGCUUCGUGCGGAACCAGUAACGGCGUCGCCGGAAACAACCUCAGAGUUUCAGAAAUUAUGCUCUGAAGGUACGGCAGAUUUUGUAUGUCUGAUUCGUUGAUCAAUCGACCUUUUCCGACAACGGUGUCCACCUCAGCUCUCGCCCUCUCCAUCUUUUCAGGGUGGUUGAGCAGCGCCGACAUCGCCCAUUCUAUAGUCACCGACGAUGUGUCUGUUCCGGCAAGUACCAUAACCUGUAUCAAAUUCAUCAAAAUAUAUUUUUUCAGUACUUAAAAAUACGGUAAAUUUUGAAAACUCCCCUAAACUUAAAUUAAAUUACAAAAACCACCUUCAUCUAGUCGUAAUUACCAAGAACUCACUGAUGUGGGUUUCCGUCUUACACUGACCCUUACAACAUGACUUUGGAUUUUUUUUUUCUUUUCAGAAAAUAGACUUUACAUCAAAUAUUUUCUUAUAUUUUCCAUCUAUUUAACAUAAAGUAUUAUAAAUUGUACACAUUUUCUAUCAAAAAAUUCAAUCAACACUUUGUAAGAGGGGAUUUUGAUUAUUACGGAUAAGUUGGGUGUUUUUCGUUAUUUAUCUUAAGUUUAGGGUUUUUUCGUAAUUUACCAAAAUAAUAAUGAAGGAUAAUCGAAUUAAUUAAUUACCAGAAUAAUGCCUUUAAUGAUGACGUCAGUGUAGGAUUCAGGGUCUGAUUCUUGGAAAGAGAGCAAAUGAUCAAUCAUGGUAUUUGUGUUCUUAUUGGAUCUGUGUUCAUCUAUCAAGCCUUGUAAGAAACUAUCGAGUUUCCCACUCAGCCUCGUCAGAUUCUUCUCGAAAUUCUUGUAAUCAAUCCAUCUCAGCACCGGGAAGAAAUCCGCCGGAUUUGAUGCGUCGCUGUAGGAGAAAGCUUCCUCUAUAAGCUCUCGAAGCCGCUCGGCCUCGUCGUUGUCCUCGCCGAAGUACCGUUUUCCGGCGACCAUUCUCAUAAUAUUAUUAAAAGUGAGCUCCGAAAAAGGGGGCCUGAGUUCGACUCGGGCGAAAUCUCCGACCGAGUUGCCACCGAGCUUCUCCAGCAUACGUUUCACUUCGUCUUCUCUUAUUGACCGGAACGUGCUCAGACGCGCCGACGAUAAGAUUUCGACCGUCGUCACGCGGCGGAGGUUGCGCCAGUAGUCGCCGUACGGGGAGCCCACGACGGUGGUGUAGUUGUAGCCGAUGUAUUUGCCGCUGAGAAAACGGGGCCUGUUGGCAAAAACGACGUCGUUCUUUGUGAAGCACUCCUCUGCGACGGCGGGGGAGGAGAUAACCACCACGAGGCGGCUCCCCAAACGGAGAGAGAAGAUGGGGCCCAGCUUCUGAGAGAGGUCGUAGUAGGUACGAUGAAUUGGGAAUUUGAGGAGGUGGAGGUGCCCUAACAGAGGAAGCGCCGUCGCCGGACUCGGUGGGAGUUUUCUUUGCCCGGAUUUUGCGGA
rnacentral:lncRNA from 1 species